GUCUAAGGCCAUAGCACCCUGAACGCGCCCUAUCUCAUCUGAUCUCGGAAGCUAAGCAGGGUCGGGCCUGGUUAGUACUUGGGUGGGAGACCACCUGGGCAUACCGGGUGCUGUAGGCU
rnacentral:rRNA from 1 species